rnacentral:tRNA from 1 species
GGUCCGAUGGCGUAGUUGGUUAUCGCAUCUGUCUAACACACAGAAGGUCCUGAGUUCGAGCCUCAGCCGGAUCA